rnacentral:rRNA from 1 species
UUCGGACCUAGAGACCGGCGCACGGGUGCGUAACGCGUAUGCAAUCUACCUUUUACAGAGGGAUAGCCCAGAGAAAUUUGGAUUAAUACCUCAUAGUAUUAUUGAAUGGCAUCAUUUAAUAAUUAAAGUCACAACGGUAAAAGAUGAGCAUGCGUCCCAUUAGCUAGUUGGUAAGGUAACGGCUUACCAAGGCAACGAUGGGUAGGGGUCCUGAGAGGGAGAUCCCCCACACUGGUACUGAGACACGGACCAGACUCCUACGGGAGGCAGCAGUGAGGAAUAUUGGUCAAUGGGCGCAAGCCUGAACCAGCCAUGCCGCGUGCAGGAUGAAGCAUCUAUGGUGUGUAAACUGCUUUUGUACGAGAAGAAACACUCCUUCGUGAAGGAGCUUGACGGUAUCGUAAGAAUAAGGACCGGCUAACUCCGUGCCAGCAGCCGCGGUAAUACGGAGGGUCCAAGCGUUAUCCGGAAUCAUUGGGUUUAAAGGGUCCGUAGGCGGUUUUGUAAGUCAGUGGUGAAAGCCCAUCGCUCAACGGUGGAACGGCCAUUGAUACUGCAAGACUUGAAUUAUUAGGAAGCAACUAGAAUAUGUAGUGUAGCGGUGAAAUGCUUAGAGAUUACAUGGAAUACCAAUUGCGAAGGCAGGUUGCUACUAGUGGAUUGACGCUGAUGGACGAAAGCGUGGGGAGCGAACAGGAUUAGAUACCCUGGUAGUCCACGCCGUAAACGAUGGAUACUAGCUGUUCGGAGCAAUCUGAGUGGCUAAGCGAAAGUGAUAAGUAUCCCACCUGGGGAGUACGUUCGCAAGAAUGAAACUCAAAGGAUUUGACGGGGGCCUGCACAAGCGGUGGAACAUGUGGUUUAAU